CGAUAUGAAAAAAAUUCCUCGCCCGAUGACGAAACUCUCGCUCGACUCUCUCUUCUUACUGCGCCUCGCUCGACCCUCUCUUCGCCCUCGCUUCACUGGUUCCUUCGACUGUUCGGCAGCACCAUCACUUGUUCUGUAGACAGACAAGCAAUGCAUGAUGGUGCAAUAGAUGGCAAGCCGCUGCAGUGUUUUGAGUAUCAUUCUGAUGAUCUGGAGUUGCAAUUUCAGUAUUGACUACUUCGAAUCCUUCGGGUGAAUUUCGGAUUCUUCUUAUGAAGAGUCAAUAACCCAAUCAAAGUGAGUAGAAAACGUACCUGAAGUAGUUGCACCGGCUGCCGAAGCCACCAUAGCAGUUGUUUCUUUUUGUUUGCAGACACUUUGUAAAAGUUCUGUAAUAGUUUUCAACUAAGCAGCCACAUCAACAUCUCCUAUAGCAGCGGAAUGGGCAGUUGCAGCAGAUUCAUUUGAUCGACGAGUCAAAGAUUGGUCUGGCUUCCCAUGCAAUGUCCAGCACCUCUCACGGGUAUGUCCGUCCUUCUUACAAUAGGUACAUGUGAACUUGCUGCGAUUUUGGUUUCUUGGUUUAUUUCCAAUGAAACUGUGGCUGUCUUUCUUUUCCAUGGUGGCAGCAAAGGCGGUGGUAUUAGUAGUGGUAUACACUGCCUUAUCCGUGCCGUCAACAGAUGGAAUAAUUUGUAACUUGU